GUGUAGCUGUCUCCAAGUCACUUGAGGAAUGGCUCGGCUCGGGCGCCGAUGAAGGUCGUGCCAAGCUGCGAUAAGCCGGGGGUAGGCGCAUGGAACCUGAGAUCCCCGGAUCACCUAAUCGGAACUCCGGACCGCAAGGUCAGUCCCAUCAGGGAUAGGGAACCCCCCGAAGUAAAGCAUUCUAGUAGGGGGAGGAGAAGAAAUCAAUCGAGAUGCCGUAAGUAAAGGCGAUCGAAAGCGGCAGAGGACAAACCGAAUUCUCUGGCGACAAGUCAGAGAAGAUGUGGGGUUAUGGACCUUCGCACUCCCUCGCCUCCGACGCCGAACGCGGCUGGAACGCCGGACCGUAGAGGGUGAAAGUCCCCUAGGCCAAUGGAGGAAGGGAGAUUGGAGGUAUCCAGAGUACCGUGCGUUGGAAAUCGCAUGGGGAGUUGGGAGGCACAAACUUCCGAUCCUAAAUACGUCCCGAGACCGAUAGUGCAAUAGUAGUGCGAACGAAAGCUGAAAAGUACCUCGGAAGGGAGGUGAAAAGAGCCUGAAAUCAAGUGAUCACAAGCCGCAUGGGCCCCCAAGGAGCGAAGCCGGGUAAAACCGGUGGACACAGGGUCCAUGCGUCCGUUUUGAAUAACGGGCCAGGGAGUUUCGAUCUAUGGCGAGGUCAAGCCGUUAGAACGGCCAAGCCGAAGGGAAACCGACAGUCCGCAACCGGGCAACCGGCCAGGGACGGGGUGGGCUCGCCCGUAGUCAUAGGUGGAAGACCCGAAGCCAAUCGAUCUAAGCGUGACUAGAGUGAAGCCUGCCGAAAGGUAGGUGGAGGCUCGAACCGGUGUUGACGUGCAAAUCACUCGGAUGAGUUGCGCAUAGGGGUGAAAGGCCAAUCUAGACUGGGAAUGGCUGGUUCCUCUCGAAACUACUCGCAGGUAGGUCUCGGCCGAGACUACCCGGUAUGUAGAGCACCGAUUAUGGAACACGGGCCCGAAAGGGCUCGGUCUGUUGUCGAACUCCGAAGUGCCGGGCGUUGAAGACGCCGGGAGUGAGCGCGGCAGGGGUAAGCCCGCCGUGCGAAAGGGAAUGCAACCCAGCCUCGCAUUAAGGGCCCCAAGUGCCGGCUAAGUGCUAUGCCAAAGGGCGUCCGUGUCCCCAGACAACUGGGAGGUGGGCUCAGAAGCAGCCAUCCUUCAAAGAGUGCGUAACAGCUCACCAGUCGAGGGCAUGGGCACCGAAAACGGACGGGGCUAAAGCCGGCCCCCGAUAUGCGAGCAGUCCCCCGGAGGGGGACAUUGUGUAGAGAGGCGUGCUGCGCGGGUAGAAGUGGGGCGGUAACGUCCUGUGGACCGCGCACGCAAUGAAAAUCCUGGGAGGAGUAACAGCAAAGACGGGUGAGAACCCCGUCCGCCGAAGGGGCCAGGGUUCCUCGACAACGACCAUCCGUCGAGGGUUAGUCGAUCCUAAGCGUGUCCUUAAUCGGACCACGCGAAAGGGAACACGGUUAAUAUUCCGUGACCCGCGGCUUAAAGCGCAUCGUGUUGACACAUCGGGCUAGUUCGAGCGGGCCUAUGCCAGCCUGUUCGAGGUCUGUCGUCCGGGGGAGUACCGUCAUGGUGAGAACCUGGAGAAGGGCCAAAGGGGCCCCCUAUGGGGGCUUCGGAUAAUGCCCGGUGUCCGUGAAAAGACCGAUGCGGCAACCGCGGUUCGUACCGAGAACUGACACAGGUGCCCCUGGGUGAGAAGCCCAAGGCGUAUCGGCGAGAAUUCGUGUAAGGGAAUUCGGCAAAUCAGCCCCGUAACUUCGGGAGAAGGGGUGCCAGACACGAGGGUGUCUGGUCGCAGUGACCAGGGAGCUCCGACUGUUUAACAAAAACAUAGGUGGCCGCAAGACCUAACGGUUGUGUAUGGCCGCUGAAUCCUGCCCAGUGUCGGUAUCUGAAAGCCCGGUUCAACGGGACGAAGGACCGAUAAACGGCGGGGGUAACUAUGACCCUCUUAAGGUAGCGUAAUACCUUGUCGCUUAAUUGGCGACUUGCAUGAAGGACCAACGAGAGCUCUACUGUCCUUACGCGGAAGCCGGUGAAACUGACUAACUGGCGAGCAGUCCAGUUGCUACUGUCUGAAAGCGAAGACCCCGUGGAGCUUUACUGCAGCCUGUGGUUGUGGCACGAGAUUAGUUGUGUAGGGUAGGCGGGACCCGUUAGUAAGUACCGGCCGCUAGGUCGGUGGCGAGGGGCCGAUGAAACACCGCCCUUCUGAUCUUGUGUCGCUCACUCCCGCGAGGGAGGACACCUAUAGGUAGGCAGUUUGGGUGGGGCGCCACGCCCUCCAAAAGUUAACAAGGGCCCCCCAAGGUCGCCUCAGGCGCGUCAGAAAUGCGCCGUAGAGUGCAAGGGCAAAAGGCGGCUUGACGUCGUUCUGCCUAACGAGGAACGACGAUGCGAAAGCAGGGCCUAGCGAACCACUGUGUCCUGUUAUGUGCGGGCCAGUGAUAAGAGAAAAGUUACCCCGGGGAUAACUGAGUUGUCUCCAGCAAGAGUCCCUAUCGACCUGGAGGCUUGCUACUUCGAUGUCGGUUCUGCCUAUCCUGGUGGUGCAGCAGCUACCAAGGGUGGGGUUGUUCGCCCAUUAAAAGGGAUCGUGAGCUGGGUUCACACCGUCGUGAGACAGGUGUGUUGCUUUUUGGCAGUAGUGCAAGGGUCUCUGAGGGGAAGGUUCCCACAGUACGAGAGGAACGGGGAAUCGGCGCCUCUAGUGCACCUGUUAUCCGGCAGGGUAUGGCAGGGCAGCCACGCGCCACGGGAUAAGGGCUGAAAGCAUCUAAGCCCGAAACCCCCCGCGAAAAGAGAGACCUGAGAUCACUCGUAAAAGACGAGCUCGAUAGAGCUGGGGUGUACGCGCGAAGCUUCGGCGACGCGCUCAGCCCGCGGCCACUAACGAUCGUAGCUACCUCCUC
rnacentral:rRNA from 2 species